CACGCCGCCCGACUUCGCCUCCCCCUCCCGAGUCCCGACGCUUACGCCGCCUCCCUCGCCCCCGUCGUACGACAUCGACCCCCACACCCUUCAUGUUCGAACGUCGCACCCGCCGCUCCAUUCCCGUUCGCCGGUCUGCGCCGUCCCCGGCGGAUCUGCUGCCACUGUCCGCACCGUCCCGGCCGCCGCGCCGCCGCUCCGUCCUCGGCUCUCUCCUUGCCCGGCUGCUGCUCUGUCCCGUGCGCCGUCCGCACCGCGCCAGCCACAGCUUGUAGAGGACGGGGCACACAUCAAGAUGGAGCAAAAGGGGCUCGCUGCCAUCCACCUGCAUGCAUCCCUUGCGAUCCGCUGAUCCCCCUCCCCUGCCCCCGGACCUCGCGAUCCGCUCGACCUCGCCGUUGCCUCCCUCGACCCGCCGACCUCCUCUCUAUUCACAUGGAUCGACCAACCCUCUGUAGCGCAAUCCUGGCGGCGGCACGGCUUCAUGGUGGAUCUGCGGCGCCUGGGCGACUGCCUCCCACUCUCCUCGCGACGACGGUCGCCAUGGGGGGCGCGGCGGAGCAAGAGCUUUCCAGCCGGUGCGCGAUGCAACUCAAGCGGUGGUUCCCUGCGAGCUUCGAUCGGUUGAUCUCGGCGCAAGGAUUUGAGGUCGGAGUUCUAUCCACCAUGCCGCUCAUCCACGGCCGUGCACAUGUGCAAACGCUGGCAUCCUCACCAUGGUUGCAGAUCGUCCAGAUAUGGUAAGCUGCUAGCUGUGCUCUCGUUGCUCAUCCAUCGCUGGCUUGUAAUCUCAUAUCACGAGUCAUGAAUCCUGCAUGUUUAUGUUUUUUUUUGCCGAUUAACAAAUUAAGUGGAUGAUGCAGUUGCACUCUCUGUGUUUGGGUAAAUGCCCCAGUGAAGUUGAAGUCCCGCGCAGGCCAAGCAUUGCUAUUCGUUUCUCUUUAGUCUAUGCAGGUCAGCUGACAAAGCAAGAAAAGAGUUCAAUUGAGAAAUCUAGGGCGUCGUCCGGCGGCCGCCCUCCCAUCGACGAUGCUUAGGUCGACAUCCCCGGAGCGCGUGGAGCGUUGCUCGGCCGCCCUACCAUCAACGUCGCGCGCAGGCUUGGAUGCACAGUAUCGUGGGGUGAAUGAUCACCGUAUCGUGAAUACCAUUUAACCUUCGCGUAGUUAAAAUCACUCAUGAAAAUUAUUGUUUUCUUCUUUUCAAUUUAAUUCCUUUCAAUAUGCAUGUCAUGCGUAUUUCCUUGCAUGCAAAUCAAUCACGAAUCAAAGCAUGCAAGUUUCCUUUCUCUCCCUUUAUUUUCAUUACACAUUUGCAGCUGCACGCCUUCCUCUCUAUCUCUCGCGCCAUGAUUGUUUCCUCCCUUUAAAUGGCCAUGUUUGGAUUGUAGCGUGCUAGUAAAUAGUGAUAUUUUGACCGCUAAUUACGGUGUCAUACAAAGCCAGUUUGCAAAACCAAUAUCAGAACCCACGCGCUAGUGACCUUGAAAAAUCUAAUGAGGUCUUUGACCGCGCGACUAGAGGAUGGUUACUGUAGCAUCACUGUAGAAUAUCAUUUAUUAAUUACCGUCAUUAGAUUCGUUGCAAAAAGUUACACACAUCUCUGAAAAAAUUUUGCAAAUAGACUUCAUUUAGUACACCAUACAUGCGAGAUUCUUUUGUAGAAUGGAAUAGAAUGGGGAAACAAACAAGGCUAUGCACACACAUACAGUACCUAUGGAAGACCAAAAUUAAGCAGGGAAUUCUUGCCAUGAGUUUCCUUUCCCUGCAUUUACACGAGCACAUAAAUAGUUCAGGUGGCCACAACCCCUAGCGAAAAGAUGACUUCUAUGUCUUCUCUUUUGUCUCUAAAAUCCAUCACGACCCAACCUCAUGGAACUAAGGUUGAUGUAGUAGCAAUGGUGGCUUUUGUUUGUCCAGCGGACUACAGCUUCUUGCAAUCGUAUGGAAUUAGAGAAUUGUAUUUGAAGGACACCAGAUUAGUUCUUUUCUUUGUGUAUAAAUAAAUAAUAUACCAUAUUUUUAAUUUGUACUCAAUAUUGUAUAAAAUAAGUGUAAACAUUAAUCUUGAUUGAUCACAGUGACCUAGCAUUCAUACGUUUUGUUAUCCAUGUCAACGACGAGAGCCACAAACUUUUCGUCGAGGCCGAUAUCAACAACUAUACUAUCAUGGCCAAUAGAUUUCUUGUUGACCAGAGUAUAGGUGAAUAUGAUUUCAUAGAUAUCUAUUUAUAGAAAAAUAAUUUUGUAGUAUUUAAUUUUUCCAUAUGCAUACAGAUAUUUGGCUGCAUCUGAGCACAGUUCAAUCUAUUUGAGCAAUUCAAGAGGAUACUGUGGGAAUAAACACUAGAAGAUGUAAGAGUUGGCAUACGUACAGAUUCUAUUUUGCGUGAUAGCAUCAAAUGUGUGGUUGCCGCUCGAGCUGAAGAGCUAAAGAAGUUCCAUGAAGUACCACGCUUGGAUGUUGAAGGUCAUAAAUCUGUAUUGAAAUAUGUAUACAAGUUCAUGACAUGCUACGAGAAUCUUGAAUGAAUCAAAAUCGAAGAAACUUCAUACGAGAACUUGGAUUAGAGUUAGAAUCGAGUGGAUUGCUAUGUUUUUAAUAAAAAAUAAUUUAGUUGUGUAA